rnacentral:pre_miRNA from 1 species
AUCACAUAGGGAUCUUGUUAAAAUGCAGGUUUUUGAUUCAGUAUGUUGAGGGUGGAGCCUGAAAUUCUGCAUUUCUAACAGGUUCCCAAGUGAUGUCAA